CGUCGCUUCGAGCUCGAGCUCUUCACUUAGUACGAAGUCCCUAGUGGCAAGAUCCCACACUCUCACCACCGGGUUCGAUUUCCAAGGCAGGGAGCCGACCCGGUAACUGCGGGAUUAACUCUUAGUACUGGUCCCAAGCCGAUGUCCUGACAUUUUAUCUCACCCAUCAGAUCGUCCUACUGUGCAUGCGCAUAUCGAGUUGGCGUCAUUUUUAUCACCAAAACACCACGCCCAUAAUUUUUUACUACCUGUGCUUUGAUUUCUUCAUGGAAGAUAUGGAAGAUAAGUGGGAAUCACUGUAUAAUCACCUGCCAGCAGGAUCGUUACCUAUGGAGUCCAAAAGGCAGAACCUUUCUAAUAUCUGUCCAGGAACUACAGAAUAAAAACUGUAAAUCAU